rnacentral:rRNA from 1 species
CUUGAACGCUGGCGGCAUGCCUUACACAUGCAAGUCGAACGGCAGCACGGGUGCUUGCACCUGGUGGCGAGUGGCGAACGGGUGAGCAAUACAUCGGAACGUACCUUAUCGUGGGGGAUAACGCAGCGAAAGCUGUGCUAAUACCGCAUACGCCCUGAGGGGGAAAGCGGGGGAUCGAAAGACCUCGCGCGAUUAGAGCGGCCGAUGCCUGAUUAGCUUGUUGGUGGGGUAAAAGCCCACCAAGGCGACGAUCAGUAGCUGGUCUGAGAGGACGAUCAGCCACACUGGGACUGAGACACGGCCCAGACUCCUACGGGAGGCAGCAGUGGGGAAUUUUGGACAAUGGGGGCAACCCUGAUCCAGCAAUGCCGCGUGAGUGAAGAAGGCCUUCGGGUUGUAAAGCUCUUUUGUCAGGGAAGAAACACCGGCUCUAACACAGUCCGGGAAUGACGGUACCUGAAGAAUAAGCACCGGCUAACUACGUGCCAGCAGCCGCGGUAA